rnacentral:rRNA from 1 species
CCUACGGGAGGCUGCAGUGGGGAAUAUUGGGCAAUGGAGGAAACUCUGACCCAGCAACGCCGCGUGAAUGAUGAAGGUCUUCGGAUUGUAAAGUUCUUUUCUAAGGGAAGAAGAAAGUGACGGUACCUUAGGAAUAAGCCUCGGCUAACUACGUGCCAGCAGCCGCGGUAAUACGUAGGAGGCGAGCGUUAUCCGGAAUGACUGGGUGUAAAGGGGGCGCAGACGGCAGCGCAAGCCAGGAGUGAAAGCCCGGGGCCCAACCCCGGGACUGCCCUUGGAACUGCGCGGCUGGAGUGCAGGAGGGGCAGGCGGAAUUCCUGGUGUAGCGGUGAAAUGCGUAGAUAUCAGGAGGAACACCGGUGGCGAAGGCGGCCUGCUGGACUGCGACUGACGUUGAGGCCCGAAAGCGUGGGGAGCAAACAGGAUUAGAUACCCCUGUAGUC